GGGUAUGCUCAGUGGUUAGAGCGCGCGCUUAGCAUCCACGAGGUCCUGGGUUCAAUUCCUAGUAUCUCCA
rnacentral:tRNA from 1 species